UGGGGAGUUUUCCGCAAUGGGCGAAAGCCUGACGGAGCAAUGCCGCGUGGAGGUGGAAGGCCUACGGGUCGUCAACUUCUUUUCUCGGAGAAGAAACAAUGACGGUAUCUGAGGAAUAAGCAUCGGCUAACUCUGUGCCAG
rnacentral:rRNA from 1 species